UGUAGCUCCGGAACGCAGACCUCAGGGCUCCGUAGGCCGACGCCGGGAGGCGAGUGAUGGUAGUGCCGGAGUCGAUGAUCGUGCCACGGGACGAGAAAACCGAUGGCGAAAUGGCCAGUUGCUGCCCACCGACGCUGAUUCCGAUCAGGUCAACGAAGUAAAAGCUUGGAUGAUUGGAGCUGGUCUGCAUUCGAGUGUAAACGGUGUUGGAGGCAUCACCAGGUUCGCCCAGUUUCAGGAACCCGGUGGAGCUGGGAGUCGAAGGAAGGCAGUAGGAGAAGACCGAGUGGUAAACUUGCGACGUUUGGGACACCAGAGAGCGCUUGCCGCGGCCGAGACCCACGAGCCCUGCGGUGUCUUGGAACAGCCCUUCGUUGUCGGUGCCGCACCCGAAGAGGAAGUCCUCGAUCACGUCGUUUGGCGACAGCGUCAGUCUGUCGUAGCUGUAGACUCCUGAAGUGGUCGACCCAUCGCCGUAGGUGAUGCCAUAAGCGCAAGAGCUGGAGCAGCUGCUUCGGAGCUGACUGCAGUCCUGCGAGUUGCAAGGGAUCGCGGUGUAGGAGGAUGAUUGGGAUGGGUCAAAGAUCGGCUCCUGCUGCGAGUAGCACGCGGAGCAUGGUUUGCAUUGGAUCCAACUCAGGUCGCUCCCGGUGUCCAUCGUCACAGUCUGCUCUCGGCUGGGGGUGCCAUAGCCGACUGUGAUCACGUACUCCCCUCCUCCGUACUCCGCGGGGAUGCUUGCCUUGGAAUCAUCGACCUGUGGCUUGGCGGAAGACUUCAAGGCACUUCGCCGGAGAUAGUUGACUCUAAGUUGGUCUUUCAGAAGAAUCUCUUCUAGCGAUAGCAGUUUCUUGUCGUCGAAGGGGGAGCAGGGUCCAUGCCGAUGCACCAACGGGAAGGCGGUGAAGUUAGAUCCUGAGAAAGGCGAAACUAUCUUUUAAGGAAACUGUAUCAAAUGGUUUCAGCAAUUCAUGGGUAGCGGAGUAUGAGAUCUGCAGCCCAAAGAAAAGAUUGAUGCAAGAGAGCAACUGAGGUAUGACUGACCCUUGGACGAGGAGCAGACAACUUCGGGACUAGAAUUAUGAUUUCGAACCACGUGGUAGCUCUGAGCGUCUUCUCCGUUAGCAAGGGAAGAACAGUGACUCAGGAACAGAACAGAAGAGCAGAUUAAGAGAGCAGCCGAAGCCAUUUGCUGGGAAGAGACAAGCCCUGGGCGAAGGAUUGCAAUGGCAAUGCAUCCAAUUUAUAGAGACUUCAAAACCACUUUCUUUGUUCCACCAGAUUGGCCUCUGAUUUGAGUCAAGUAUGUCGACUAGUCGUUGACUUCAUAUUGACUGGCAUCGUCAAGUUCUUCCACACAAUCACGGAGCAAUUUAGGCUUAGUUUCGCAUUCCCACUGCAAAAUCCACGAAAUAAUUUGGUUUACGUCACAACGAUGAGAUCUAAAGGAAGACUUCGAACAGUUCAAAGUCGAAUAAUUAGAGCCACAACUCGAGUGCAAGACCGGAGAGAAGACUUUCAACAGUUCAACAUCUUGGUGUGAUUUCUUCACCGACCAAUCCUGACCGGCUCAUAAAUCGUCAACUAAUAACAACAACAACUAAAUGCUUCCUUAUGGCUGUUCUACGAGUCACCCAGGCGAGUGGAUCGGGAGCUAUUCGAGAGGGAAUUACACGGUAUACUUCCAUGUCCGCACGAACCAAAGUGCGCAAGAACAUGGACUCGUACUUCUGAAACCUGCAAUGAUAGAUCGAUAGCUCCGAUACUGUAUGUGAUGAACGGAUUGCACUAUGAGAAUAACUUCAGCUGGUCUGGUGUUGAAUCAAUGGUUGACAGCAGCAGAGGCUAAUCAAAAGAAGAAGACGAAGAGGAGGUACAGGCAGGGUAGGUGGCCGUGAAAGAGACACACUCCCAAAUGAUUGCGAAGGACAAGCUACUCCAAGUGACAUUAAAGAACUCGGCAACCAUGGCGUUUUCCAAUUAAUCAUGGACCAAUUUAGCUUUAUUUGGAGAGUAAAAUAGGAUGGAAAGUUAUCAGACUUGUAGAUCUUUAUGCAGACUAGAUGAGUUUAUUAUUAGUAACAUAUAUUUUCUACUCAUAUUAAGAUCUAUCAAAGUUGCAGAUGAUGUGAUUUAUAAGGAAAACAAUAUCACAACAGUUAUCCCUUUUAUUAAAAUUAUCACAAGUACAAGUUUGAAUUAUGAAUUAGACAUGAAUUUGCUAUUAGAUUUAAGCUUCCCAUACAUUUUCUGUUAUUUUUUUUUUAUCAAAUAUACUUUUCCUAUGAUUAAGAAUAAUCUACAGUAAAUUAAAUUAAAUGUGCCUCGAACAUCUAAUUAUAGAAUUAUAGCACGUCAGUCACAUCCCCUAGCUUUUCUCCAUCGUCUUCCUCCUUUCGAUGUGAUGACUAAAUAGGCAAUCGUUCAUUACACAAUAAAUUGUGGGUUGGAUUCGUCGUGGAAGGACCCUCGUGAUUUUUUAUUAUAUACGAAGAAAAAUACUGUUAGAUUAAUUAAUCUGAGCUCUAACUUAUACUUCCAAAACAUAAUUCCAAACACAUAAUUAACGAAGAAAAGAGACACACGUACAGAAGAAAAGGGAGGUGGAUGCUGAAAUAGAACGAUAGACAAUUCUGGUGAAGGUAAUAGAGGUUGACUGCCAGCUGCAGGUGCAUGCUAUAUAUCCUUAUUCCUCAUGCUAUUGAUUUAUUUAUAUUUAUAUAUAUGCAUGAGGUGAUACUGAUCAGCUGCAAGCGUGCGGCGCGAAUCCAAUUCUCUCAUUUCCUACAUCGUAGACUACUUCAAAUGUUCGCUGCUGCACAUUGCCAAUGAUCCCCAAGCGAUCAACUUGCUUACCAGAAAAUGCCAAGCAGUCAUGCCUGAGGAUCCCAGAUACGUUGAGAUCCAGUGUGACUCCAUCGAAGUGCAGCGCUACUUUGGGGACUGUUAUGGUCUUGUAGCCACUGAAGUCAUAACAGGUAUCAAGCAGUCCGUUAGUAGGCUUAAGAGGGUACGCCGACAUGUGCUCCCGGAACGCCGACCUCAGGGCCUCGUAGGCCGACGGCGGGAGGCGAGUGAUCGUAGUGCCGGAGUCCAAUAUCGUGCCACCGGACCUAAAAACCGAUGGCGAAAUGGCGAGCUGCUCCCCGGCCACGCUGAUUCCGAUCAGGUCAACGAAGUAAAAGCUUGGAUACUUGGAGCUGGUCUGCAUUCGAGUGUAAACGGUGUUGGAGGCGUCACUAGGUUCGCCCAGUUUUAGGAACCCCAUGUUGCUGGAAGUCGAAGGAAGGCAGUAGGAGAAGACCGAGUGGUAAAGUUGCGACGUCUGAGACACAAGCGACUGCUUGCCACGGCCGAGACCCACGAGCCCUGCGGCGUCGUGGAACAGCCCUUCGUUGUCGGUGCCGCACCCGAAGAGGAAGUGCUCGAUCACGUCGUUUGGCGACAGCGUCAGUCUGUCGUAGCUGUAGACUCCUGAACUGUUCGACCCAUCGCCGUAGGGGAUGAAAUAAGCGCAAGAGCUGGAGCAGCUGCCUCGGGGCUGACUGCAUUCCGACGAGUUGCAAGGGAUCGCGGCGUAGGAGGAUGAUUGGGAUGGGUCAAAGAUCGGCUCCUGCUGCGAGUAGCAUUUGUUGCAUGGUUUGCAUUGGAUCCAACUCAGGUCGCUCCCGGUGUCCAUCGUCACAGUCUGCUCUCGGCUGGGGGUGCCAUAGCCGACGGUGAUCACGUACUCCCCUCCUCCGAACUCCGCGGGGAUGCUUGCCAAGGAAUCAUUGAGCUGUGACUUCACGACACCCUUUAGGAGAUAAUUUACUCGAAGUUGGUCUUUAAGAAGGAUUUGUUCAGGUGAUGGCAGUUCCUUUGUCUCGAAGGGGGAGCAGGGUCCAUAUCGACUGACCAACCGUAUAGAGGUAACGUUGGAUCCUGAGAACCAUGCAUGCAUGCAUGGAAGUAUAUAUCACCACCAAUAGUCAGUAUUAAUUUUUUGUCUUUUAAGUAAUUUUACGUCAAACAAGUGCAGCAAUUUAUAAGUACAACUUCCAUCUGCUUGCUCGGUAACAUCGUGCUUCCAAUUUACAGCUUAAAGAGAUAGAGAAGGAAGUCUUAGUUAAAACUACAGAUGAUACUUUAUAACAGCAGCGCAAAUAAAACACCAAAAGUAAGAGGCAGCCGAUGUAUGAUUAACCUUUGAGCGGGGAGCAGACUGCUCCGGGAUUCAAAGAACGUCUUUGAACCUUAUGGUAGCUCUGUACUUCUCCAUUGGCAAGGUGAGAACGGUAGCUUAGGAGCAGAAACAGAACACAAGAGCUGGUUAGGAGGGCAGCUGAAGCCAUUAGUUAGCUGGGGAGAUACAAGUCUUGUGCGUAGGAGCUCUGGCUAUGCAUCCAAUUUAUAGAGAACCUUCAAUGCUACCUUCUCUCCUUGAAUCUUCAAAGCGAUGCUUUUGGUUUGGCCUCUGAUUACCACAUGCGAAAUUGAUUUAGAAGGCUGUGGACUAGUCGUUGACGUAGGACCCACUGGCUUAGUCAAGGUCAGAUUGUCCGAUCUUCGCGGAGUCACAUAAAUUUUAUCUCGUAUCCCCGUCGACGUGUGGAAGAUCCAUGGAAAUGAUAAGAUCUCCAGUCAGCUACCAGUCCGAAGCGAUGACUUGCAACGAUCCAAGGUCUUCACGUGGUGAUUUCUUCGGUUACCAGGUCCGAUGUAUCUGCCAGUAAUUAAUUCGUGGACUCAUGGCAUCCGACUGGAGUUAAUUGACAGCAAUCAUAUGGCAUGAUUCGACGUCCACAGGAUCAUUUUCCACUGUGGCUCAUGCGGAACCAGAUUGCAAAGAACAUGUCAUACCUCAGAGCUACUUCGGUCCUCCAACUACUAUGAGAAGAACUUUAGCUGGUUCACUGAUAUGAUAAGUUCUAGGCGCUGAAACAGUUGUGGGCUUAAGGAACCGACACAGGCGAUGUGAUAUUGCUGCACUUCUCUUGUUGGCCAUGUCGGAGGGUAAGGAAAAGAAGAAGAUGAGGAGGAGGAGGAGGAGGAGGAAGCAGGGUAAGACAGGGACGGCGAGGUGGCGAUUUACGAGACAGUCAAGAACUGGAUGAUUGCACCGGACAAAGUACGUCUAUAUCAUAACAGCUAAGAAACAAUGACAUGCGUUCUCGGAUUAAUUAUGGACCAUAUUAUUGAGCAAUAUCUUCUUUUGUUUCGUUUAUCAUCUUUUGCGCUUGACUAUAUCUGUGCAUUACUGAUAGCAAAUGGCCGAAAGCUGCCUGUAUUUAUAUUUCUUUCUUUUUUCGCGUUAGAUAAGGCUCAGGUACAGAAGCUAUGAAGACAAAGGGAAGGAAAAGACUGGUCACAACAAUUCGGUAAUGUAAUGUUUUUGAUAAGAAUACAAGCGAAUAGAUAUGUGUUACGUAUCGGAUUAAGCGUAUCAAAUCGAAUGAUAGAAAUCAAUAAUUUAGUUCAAACCAGCAUCAGACUGUAUAAAAAAAAAAAAGUAAUUUUUUUGAAAAAAAUUCUUCUUUUUUUUUCUGAAAAGGGAUCUCUGUUUUACUUUUUCACAAAAUGAGACUCCCUAAUUCAAAUAAUACUCAAAAUACUCACCGUCAUUGCUAAUGGUAUUUUUCUCAUCAAAUUUGUUUUGUCUAUUUUUUUAUUAGUUUCGAAUCAUUAUAGUGUUUUUAUUUGGCUCAUUUAUAAUAUUUUUCAAUAGCAUUACGGUAUUGUGAUGGUGGCAAUAAUUUUUACCCAUAUUUAGAUGAUGUUGUUAUUCAUAAAUUAUUAUUAUAGUACCUAUUUGAAUUCUAAUAUGAUAUAUUAAAUAAUUUUUAGUAUAUUUUGAUUUUAUUUGACUUGCUUAUAGUAUUUUUUUUACAACAUUAUAGGUUUUAUUAUGAUAUUAAGGAUAUUAUAAAGCUAUUGAAAAAUAUUGUAAGUAACUUCGUAUUAUGUCUCUUUGCUUAUCGUUGCUCAUAGAUUAUUACACUACCAAAUCAUGGAUGCUGAACACAUGCAUAUUUGGAGGUUUUCGAUACGCUGACGAACGAGAAAGAGCAAGGAAGAGGAGGAGGUGGUGGAGGCAACGGCGGCAGGAAAAGCAAGCAAGAGAAGCCAUUACGCUUGCAGAACUCGGUGAUCUGAGCUUGGAACGAGUGAAGGGAGUAGCUCUAAAUAGCUGUGCCUCUGCGCGUUCAAGUUUCAACGGGUGGUACAUCGCUUUCUCCCACUUGUCUUCCUCCUGUGGCCACUCGAGUCCUCUGUGGCGAUUACGUCAUGCGUCAUUGCGCAACAAAUAACGGGUUGGGUCAAGGAAGAGACCCUCGUGAUUCUUUAUGAGAUCCAAUCCACUCACGAGCAGAAAAGGAGGUGUGAUCACAUGCUGGAAGGCACUAAGAAUUAAGCCCGUAUAAUUGACUCCUGACUUGUUGUCAGACACUCUCGAGUCCCGUGGGAAGACCAUCCAAGAAGAGGCCUCAGCUUUGAAUUGGAAUCUUCUUUCUAACUUAGGCCGUGAAGCAAUGGCGACCAACCUUUGAGUUAUUCCAUAGACUAACAACUUUGUGGCUAUUUGUUUAGUAUUGGAUUAAUGGACUGAACUCAAUCGUUCCUCGCCCAAAAGAACCAUUGGCUAAUGUUACUUGAUAUGAAGGAUCCAAAGCAACCACCAAGAAAAGAAUGUCGAAAGAAGAACCACAAAGCAUUUGAGAACAAUCAUGAUCUCAAGGUGGCCUAUCACUUUCUUCUUCCUUCUUUCCUGCUAUUUCUUCUGAUAUAAUCAUGUGGAAAGACAUAAUAUAAUCCAUCUCUAAGCAGUGUGGCUCCCUGUGGAAAGACAUAAUCUAAUCCAUCUCUAAGCAGUGUGGCUCCCUGCGACAGGCUCUCUUACGUUCAUGCGUUUCUGGCUGACAUAAGUCUACGGAGACAUGAUGUUGCAGAGGUUGCAUAAUCCACCGCACCUCUCCAACAUUUCACAUGGCAAGCCCCGUUCCGUUUGUCAUGUCCUUGCUAAGCUUUUGGAAUGUUGCAGAAAACGAGCCAUGGGGUUCGUGCAAUGCUUCUCAAAUUGGAACAGUGGUGAGAAAUCUGCGGUGGCUCAGUCACUGUCGGUCGAUAGACCAUGAAAUGUUUGAAGGACUCGUAAUUCUUCCUGCAUGUGUUUAAUUUCUCCUCGGGAUAAGCCAAGCACUUGAAAAACCAUCUCCAAUGCAUAAGCUAGAUUAAGCAUCUCAUGUGGAGAUCAGGAUACCUGCAGUUUAAGGAGUGCUAAUAUCACAGACUAUACAAAUCACCCAGCUUGUGUACUAGACAUUGUCUUUCUUCUCCGAUGAGUGGUCAGACUUCCACUUCAAGUGUUGGAAGAUGUAGCCAGGGCACUUGCAAAUAACAAGUCGGGUGGUUCUUGAUGUGGAUGGUUGGAGAUGGCAUUCUCGAGGGUUGUCGAAGGAUGCAAUUUGCAUUUCGACAUGGAACAGUGAAGAUAAUGUGCUUCCUCUGGUUCAGUGGUGCCAGUGCCUCAGCUACUAGCUUUGUUGCUUGCUCAUGCCAAGAUAAGUGGGAGGAGUAGAAAAUUAGAACCAUUCAACAAAGGAGAUGAUUCUUGCAACACCACAUUUGAAGCAUGGUCAUCAUGCAUCAACCUGUGUAGUAGGUGGUGUUCUAACAUUUGCACCCCAAAAAGAAGGGUUUGACCAAUGUGCAUUGGCUGUUGCUUCAACCUCUGUUCAGAAGCAGAAAGUGUUGUGCUAGCCAUCAUUAUUAAAGAUUAUGGAUGGUAGCAUCAACCCUUUUUUGUCAGUUACAGAGAUGACUGAAUCACUAAUGCUCAGAGACUCCAGCAUGGCUGGCCAUAUGUCCAGCAAGAAAACUAUGGAGAUCAACCCAGAGAAUCCUAUCAUGGAGGAGUUGAGGAAGCGAGCAGAUGCUGACAAGAAUGACAAAUCAGUUAAGGACCUGACACUUCUGCUGUUUGAGACUGCUCUCCUCACCUCUGGUUUCUGCUUGAAUGACCCCAAUACUAUUGGCAACAGGAUCCACCGAAUGCUGAAAUUAGGUCUCAGCAUCGAUGAGGAUGAAAAGGUUGAAGACACUGACAUGCCUACGCUUGAGGAUGCUGCUGAUGCCGAAGAGAGUAAGAUGGAGGAAAUGGACUAAUCUGGAUCAAGUUGGCUUUCUGUAUUCUGCUGCUUCUCUUGCAAUUUUUUGGUGUGCUUUUCAUAUAUGCACUAACUAUGUAGACGGCCUUCAUCACCUUUUGCCAAAGAGAUCUUUAUAACUGUUGUCUAUGCAUGCAUGGAUAAUUCAUGUUCUAUGUUAACAAGUCUAUGGUUUGAAUGUCGAUUUAGCAUGGUUGACAUUUCAUUUUUAUAGUCCUGUCUUGUGGCAAGAAGCUGCAUGAAAACAGAAUCAUGUCUAAGUUUGUCUUGAUAGUAAAUGCCAUGUUCCAGAGUAAGAUUUUGCUUUCAUUAAUUCGAGUUCGAUCGAUCAUGGAGCAUUUGGUUAUCGGAGUUCUAGAUGUUUUGCUUUGAUCAUUAGCUACGCAAUGGAAGUCAUGUGUGAAUUGUGAUGAUAUAAAUAAGAAGCUGCUGAAGAAUGACUGCCAAAUUCAACUUUACGGACAAAAGAGACAGACAUACUGAUAAUAGAUUCGGAGGAACAGAAUCUAUACUAUGUGAACAUACUGACUCCGGGUGUCUUCAUUUUGUCACCCAUUGUUCUUAUUGAUGCAGAAAACAAAGAGCAGGUGGUUGCGUGGUGAAUCAAUCAGCUGCAAGCCUGCGGCACAAAUCCAAUCCUCUCGUUUCCUAGAUCAUAGACCACUUCAAACGUUUGCUGCUGCACGUUGCCGAUGAUACCGAACCUACCGCCCUUAUAUCCAGUAAAAGCCAAGCAGCCAUGCAUGAGGAUCCCAGAUAUGUCGAGAUCCAUUGUGACUCCAUCGAAGAGCAGCGCUACUUUCGGGACUGUUAUGGUCUCGUAGCCGCUGAAGUCAUAACAGGUAUCGAGUACUCGCGUAGGAGGCGCAGCGGGGUACUGGGACAUGUAGCACCGGAACGCAGACCUCAGUGCUCCGUAGGCCGACGCCGGGAGGCGAGUGAUGGUAGUGCCGGAGUCGAUGAUCGUGCCACGGGACGAGAAAACCGAUGGCGAAAUGUCCAGUUGCUGCCCACCGACACUGAUUCCGAUCAGGUCAAGGAAGUAAAAGCUUGGAUGAUUGGAGCUGGUCUGCAUUCGAGUGUAAACGGUGUUGGAGGCGUCACCAGGUUCGCCCAGUUUCAGGAACCCGGUGGAGCUGGGAGUCGAAGGAAGGCAGUAGGAGAAGACCGACUGGUAAACUUGCGACGUUUGAGACACCAGAGAGCGCUUGCCGCGGCCGAGGCCC
rnacentral:lncRNA from 1 species